CCUACGGGUGGCAGCAGUGGGGAAUCUUGCACAAUGGGGGAAACCCUGAUGCAGCGACGCCGCGUGAGUGAAGAAGUAUUUCUGUAUGUAAAGCUCUAUCAGCAGGGAAGAAAAUGACGGUACCUUAUUAAUAAGCCCCGGCUAACUACGUGCCAGCAGCCGCGGUAAUCCGUAGGGGGCAAGCGUUAUCCGGAUUUACUGGUUGGAAAGGGAGCUUAGGCGGCAGCACAAGUUUGGAGUGAAAUGCGGGGGCUUAACCCCGGAACUGCUUGGGAAACUGUGCAGCUAGAGUGCAGGAGAGGUAAGUGGAAUUCCUAGUGUAGCGGUGAAAUGCGUAGAUAUUAGGAGGAACACCAGUGGCGAAGGCGGCUUACUGGACUGUAACUGACGUUGAGGCUCGAAAGCGUGGGGAGCAAACAGGAUUAGAGACCCUUGUAGUC
rnacentral:rRNA from 1 species